UACGUAGGGUGCGAGCGUUGUCCGGAAUUACUGGGCGUAAAGGGCGCGCAGGCGGCAGACCAAGUCAGAUGUGAAAUAGCUCGGCUUAACCGGGCGGGGUCAUUUGAAACUGGUCAGCUAGAGUACAGCAGAGGUUAGCGGAAUUCCCGGUGUAGUGGUGAAAUGCGUAGAGAUCGGAGGAACACCAGAGGCGAAGGCGGCUAACUGGGCAUGUACUGACGGCUGAGGCAGG
rnacentral:rRNA from 1 species